CGAAACGAAACGUCCGCCAUGACGUUCAAGAAAAUUGAGAAAUUUUGUAACAUUAACUCGUAUUUCAUAACAAAGAAGUGAAGAUGAAUACAAUUAUCGGUGUGCUUCGUUGAAACAGGAAGAGGAUUAUCCAUCUAUUGUAUUGGGAGUGUUUGUGGAGCAUCCAACACCAUUUCUUAGAGAAGCCUUACAGAAGAUUGCAGCAUUAGAUUAUCCUAAACAGAAAAUUGAUUUCUUUAUUCAUUCAUCAUGAAGAAAUUACCAGAAUGAGAUAGAUUUAUUCUUGAACAAGGUUGGAAUAUUGUACAAGUCUGUCAAUACUAUAGGUUCAUAUGACAGUAUUGGUGAAGCAGCAGCCAGGAACUGGGCCAUACAGAGUUUGACAGACUAAUUAUUUAGGACAGUUGAAAAUCCGAGUUUGACAGACUAAUUAUUAAGGACAGUUGAAAAUCCAGUUCAGGGUGUAUUGCUUGUCAGGAAGAUACCAUUAAUCAUGAGGAAAAACAGUUGCCACUGACAAGGUUACUGGCUAAAUAUGGAGUUGAACCUAUUGAAAAGAAACAUGAAAGAACUUUAUACUAUCUUCAUAAAGCAGAUGAAAAAAGGAAAUCUACGUAAGUUGUGUACAUAUAUUCAUCACAUUAAACCAAAGCACCUAGUGUAAUAAGAGUUUUAUGUGAUGUCAUUUUAAUGUGAGGAAGAUUUCUAGCUAGCUAUUAAAACAUCGGUGGUUCUACUCAGGUGACUGUGUGUGCCUGAAAUAAUGCAUGGAAGUCACCUGAGCUUGCCAUUAUGACCUUUACUGUCUAGGUGUGAUAGAAAAUCAAAUCAUAAAUCUGAAACAUGUGUCUCGAGUCAAUAAUGGCUUUGAUAAGUUAAUCAUGUGUUUACAGUCAAUAUU